GACGAACGCUGGCGGCGUGCUUAACACAUGCAAGUCGAACGGAAAGGCCCUGCUUUUGUGGGGUGCUCGAGUGGCGAACGGGUGAGUAACACGUGAGUAACCUGCCCUUGACUUUGGGAUAACUUCAGGAAACUGGGGCUAAUGCCGGAUAGGAGCUCCUGCUGCAUGGUGGGGGUUGGAAAGUUUCGGCGGUUGGGGAUGGACUCGCGGCUUAUCAGCUUGUUGGUGGGGUAGUGGCUUACCAAGGCUUUGACGGGUAGCCGGCCUGAGAGGGUGACCGGCCGCAUUGGGACUGAGAUACGGCCCAGACUCCUACGGGAGGCAGCAGUGGGGAAUAUUGCACAAUGGGCGGAAGCCUGAUGCAGCAACGCCGCGUGCGGGAUGACGGCCUUCGGGUUGUAAACCGCUUUCGCCUGUGACGAAGCGUGAGUGACGGUAAUGGGUAAAGAAGCACCGGCUAACUACGUG
rnacentral:rRNA from 1 species